rnacentral:rRNA from 1 species
UACGGGGGGGGGCAAGCGUUGUUCGGAAUUACUGGGCGUAAAGGGCGCGUAGGCGGUCAGACCAAGUCGAGUGUGAAAUUCCAGGGCUUAACUCUGGCGCGCUCGCUCGAUACUGGUCGGCUAGAGUGUGGAAGAGGAUGCUGGAAUUCCCGGUGUAGCGGUGAAAUGCGUAGAUAUCGGGGAGGAACACCAGUGGCGAAGGCGGGCAUCUGGGCCAACACUGACGCGUGAGGCGCGAA